AUGGUACAUACUCAAAAUUUAGCAUAGAGAUUGAUUUUGUCUCUUAAAAUUAGUUAAUUGAUAAUAUUAAAUACUAGUAUUUGCGUGUGAUUAAUAACCUAAAAGGUUAAUUAAAUUUAUUUGUAGUUUUUAAUUUUGGGUUUUACAUAGUUGUAUAACCAGUUAAUUAUUUUAGGUCUGUUUAAAGUUGUGCCAGCAAACGCGGUUACACAAUUAGAUCAAGUUAAUUUUUUUGGUGAGUAUUAAUUUUUUAUUAUUUGGGUUUUAAAUUUAUAUUUUAAGGUGAAAUUUUUAAUAUAAUUUAUAUUAUUUAGGUUUAAGACUAUAUUAAAUUCAGAGUUUAGACUAGGAUUAGAUACCCUAUUAUUCUGAAUGUAAAGUUUA
rnacentral:rRNA from 1 species